UGGGGGAUUUUGCACAAUGGGCGCAAGCCUGAUGCAGCGACGCCGCGUGAGGGAUGAAGGCCUUCGGGUUGUAAACCUCUUUCGCUGGGUUGAAAGGCCAUGCUUUGGGUGUGGUUGAUUUGAACUGGUAAAGAAGUACCGGCUAACUACGUGCCAGCAGCCGCGGUAAUACGUAGGGUACUAGCGUUGUCCGGAUUUAUUGGGCGUAAAGGGCUUGUAGGUGGUUUGUCGCGUCUGUCGUGAAAUCCUGUGGCUUAACCAUGGGCUUGCGGUGGGUACGGGCAGGCUUGAGUGCGGUAGGGGAGACUGGAAUUCCUGGUGUAGCGGUGGAAUGCGCAGAUAUCAGGAGGAACACCGGUGGCGAAGGGGGGUCUCUGGGCCGUUACUGACACUGAGGAGCGAAAGCGUGGGGAGCGAACAGG
rnacentral:rRNA from 1 species